rnacentral:rRNA from 1 species
GGAUGAACGCUAGCGACAGGCUAACACAUGCAAGUCGAGGGGCAGCACGGGAGUAGCAAUACUUGGUGGCGACCGGCGCACGGGUGAGUAACGCGUAUGCAACCUACCUAUCAGAGGGGAAUAACCCGGCGAAAGUCGGACUAAUACCGCAUAAAACAGGGGCACCGCAUGGUGAUAUUUGUUAAAGAAAUUCGCUGAUAGAUGGGCAUGCGUUCCAUUAGGUAGUUGGUGAGGUAACGGCUCACCAAGCCGACGAUGGAUAGGGGAACUGAGAGGUUGGUCCCCCACACUGGUACUGAGACACGGACCAGACUCCUACGGGAGGCAGCAGUGAGGAAUAUUGGUCAAUGGGCGGGAGCCUGAACCAGCCAAGUCGCCGUGAAGGAAGAAGGAUCUAUGGUUCGUAAACUUCUUUUGCAGGGGAAUAAAGUGCAGGACGUGUCCUGUUUUGUAUGUACCCUGAGAAUAAGGAUCGGCUAACUCCGUGCCAGCCGCCGC